rnacentral:rRNA from 1 species
GACGAACGCUGGCGGCGUGCUUAACACAUGCAAGUCGAACGGUAAGGCCCUUCGGGGUACACGAGUGGCGAACGGGUGAGUAACACGCGGGUGAUCUGCCCUGCACUUCGGGAUAAGCCUGGGAAACUGGGUCUAAUACCGGAUAGGACUCCGGACUGCAUGGGCUGGGGUGGAACGCUUUUGCGGUGUGGGAUGGGCCCGCGGCCUAUCAGCUUGUUGGUGGGGUGAUGGCCUACCAAGGCGACGACGGGUAGCCGGCCUGAGAGGGUGACCGGCCACACUGGGACUGAGAUACGGCCCAGACUCCUAUGGGAGGCAGCAGUGGGGAAUAUUGCACAAUGGGCGCAAGCCUGAUGCAGCGACGCCGCGUGAGGGAUGACGGCCUUCGGGUUGUAAACCUCUUUCAGCAUCGACGAAGCGAAAGUGACGGUAGGUGCAGAAGAAGGACCGGCCAACUACGUGCCAGCCGCCGCGGUAACAC